rnacentral:rRNA from 1 species
UACAGAGGGGGCAAGCGUUGUUCGGAAUUACUGGGCGUAAAGCGUGCGCAGGCGGUUUUGUAAGUCUGUCGUGAAAUCCCCGGGCUCAACCUGGGAAUUGCGAUGGAGACUGCAAGGCUAGAAUCUGGCAGAGGGGGGUAGAAUUCCUGGUGUAGCGGUGGAAUGCGUAGAGAUCCGGAAGAACACCGGUGGCGAAGGCGGCCUGCUGGGCAGUUGCUGACACUGAGGCGCGACAGCGUGGGGAGCAAACAGG